AUUGAACGCUGGCGGCAGGCCUAACACAUGCAAGUCGAACGGUAGCACAGAGGAGCUUGCUCCUUGGGUGACGAGUGGCGGACGGGUGAGUAAUGUCUGGGAAACUGCCCGAUGGAGGGGGAUAACUACUGGAAACGGUAGCUAAUACCGCAUAACGUCGCAAGACCAAAGAGGGGGACCUUCGGGCCUCUUGCCAUCGGAUGUGCCCAGAUGGGAUUAGCUAGUAGGUGGGGUAACGGCUCACCUAGGCGACGAUCCCUAGCUGGUCUGAGAGGAUGACCAGCCACACUGGAACUGAGACACGGCCCAGACUCCUACGGGAGGCAGCAGUGGGGAAUUUUGCACAAUGGGCGCAAGCCUGAUGCAGCCAUGCCGCGUGUAUGAAGAAGGCCUUCGGGUUGUAAAGUACUUUCAGCGAGGAGGAAGGCGUUGUGGUUAAUAACCGCAACGAUUGACGUUACUCGCAGAAGAAGCACCGGCUAACUCCGUGCCAGCCGCCGCGGUAAAAGGG
rnacentral:rRNA from 1 species